UAAAUGUAAGUAUAAACUUGAAAACUGUCAGUUUAAGGACUUUUUGUGAUACAUGAACGUUAUUUUAGUUAGAAAUGUUACAGUAAAAGUGCUUGUAUUGCGGUCUCGGCUCGUAUGUUCGGCCGCGCUCGGUGUUGUACUUCUCCCACUACGUUUCCCCCUGAUUUUAAUAGAAGUUUGUAUUUUAGGACCAAAAGAGAAAACCAGGGAAUUUAUUAAGCUUAGGGCGGAGAUGGACCACAUGAUCACCGGAGCAAAGUAUUCGGCGGCUGUGGCAUGGAGACUAUUCUGGAGAAAAUGGGCAUGCAGGGGAAGGUGCCAGCGAUGAGCUUCUGGAGCUGAUCUGGGAGGACAUGAGGCUGCAGAGCAGCAGAGAGCACAGGAGAGAAGGAAGAACUUUGACAGCUUUUUACUUUGCUAGAAAAAAAUGGUUAAUGAAGAUUAAACAUGUACAUGUAAAAGAAAUAUCUAAAUAAAAUCAGUUCUGCAUUAAA